AACCGGCGAACGGGUGCGUAACACGUGAACAACCUACCACUGUGUGGGGCAUAGCCGGCCUAACGGCCGGGUAAUUCCGCAUACGACCUUCUGGGGGCAUCUCUGGGAGAGGAAACGAUUUAUCGGCACGGUGAGGGGUUCGCGGCCUAUCAGCUUGUUGGUGAGGUAAUGGCUCACCAAGGCUAUGACGGGUAGCUGGUCUGAGAGGAUGGCCAGCCACAUUGGGACUGAGAUACGGCCCAGACUCCUACGGGAGGCAGCAGUGGGGAAUCUUGCGCAAUGGCCUAACGGCUGACGCAGCGACGCCGCGUGAGGGAUGACGCUCUUCGGAGUGUAAACCUCUGUUGCCCGGGACGAAUAGCGGAUUAUUCCGACUUGACGGUACCGGGUGAGGAAGCACCGGCUAACUCCGUGCCAGCAGCCGCGGUAAUACGGGGGGUGCGAGCGUUGUCCGGAAUCACUGGGCGUAAAGGGCGCGUAGGUGGUGUCGUAAGUCUGUGGUGAAAGCCCGGGGCUCA
rnacentral:rRNA from 1 species